rnacentral:rRNA from 1 species
UACCAGCACCCCGAGUGGUCGGGACGAUUAUUGGGCCUAAAGCAUCCGUAGCCGGUUCUACAAGUCUUCCGUUAAAUCCACCUGCUUAACAGAUGGGCUGCGGAGGAUACUAUGGAGCUAGGAGGCGGGAGAGGCAAGCGGUACUUAGUGGGUAGGGGUAAAAUCCGUUGAUCCAUUGAAGACCACCCGUGGCGAAGGCGGCUUGCCAGAACGCACUCGACGGUGAGGGAUGAAAGCUGGGGGAGCAAACCGG